rnacentral:rRNA from 1 species
GAUGAACGCUGGCGGCGUGCCUAAUACAUGCAAGUCGAGCGAACGGACGAGAAGCUUGCUUUUCUGAUGUUAGCGGCGGACGGGUGAGUAACACGUGGAUAACCUACCUAUAAGACUGGGAUAACUUCGGGAAACCGGAGCUAAUACCGGAUAAUAUUUUGAACCGCAUGGUUCAAAAGUGAAAGACGGUCUCGCUGUCACUUAUAGAUGGAUCCGCGCUGCAUUAGCUAGUUGGUAAGGUAACGGCUUACCAAGGCAACGAUGCAUAGCCGACCUGAGAGGGUGAUCGGCCACACUGGAACUGAGGCACGGUCCAGACUCCUACGGGAGGCAGCAGUAGGGAAUCUUCCGCAAUGGGCGAAAGCCUGACGGAGCAACGCCGCGUGAGUGAUGAAGGUCUUCGGAUCGUAAAACUCUGUUAUUAGGGAAGAACACAUGUGUAAGUAACUGUGCACAUCUUGACGGUACCUAAUCAGAAAGCCACGGCUAACUACGUG